UGGGGAAUAUUGCACAAUGGGCGGAAGCCUGAUGCAGCGACGCCGCGUGGGGGAUGACGGCCUUCGGGUUGUAAACCUCUUUCAGCACCGACGAAGCGAGAGUGACGGUAGGUGCAGAUGAAGCGCCGGCCAACUACGUGCCAGCAGCCGCGGUAAUACGUAGGGUGCGAGCGUUGUCCGGAAUUAUUGGGCGUAAAGAGCUUGUAGGCGGUUUGUCGCGUCUGCUGUGAAAAUCCGGGGCUCAACCCCGGACUUGCAGUGGGUACGGGCAGACUAGAGUGUGGUAGGGGAGACUGGAAUUCCUGGUGUAGCGGUGAAAUGCGCAGAUAUCAGGAGGAACACCGAUGGCGAAGGCAGGUCUCUGGGCCACUACUGACGCUGAGAAGCGAAAGCGUGGGGAGCGAAC
rnacentral:rRNA from 1 species